rnacentral:pre_miRNA from 1 species
UAACGUCAUCUUCGUGUUCAUAAAGUCAUCUUCGUGUUUAUAAUGUAUGAACACGAAGAUGACUUUAUGAACACGAAGAUGACUUUAUGAACACGAAGAUGACUUUAU